rnacentral:rRNA from 1 species
GGUUAAGCGACUAAGCGUACACGGUGGAUGCCCUGGCAGUCAGAGGCGAUGAAGGACGUGCUAAUCUGCGAAAAGCGUCGGUAAGGUGAUAUGAACCGUUAUAACCGGCGAUGUCCGAAUGGGGAAACCCAGUGCAAUUCGUUGCACUAUCGUUAACUGAAUACAUAGGUUAACGAGGCGAACCGGGGGAACUGAAACAUCUAAGUACCCCGAGGAAAAGAAAUCAACCGAGAUUCCCCCAGUAGCGGCGAGCGAACGGGGAGCAGCCCAGAGUCUGAAUCAGCUUGUGUGUUAGUGGAACGGUCUGGAAAGUCCGACGGUACAGGGUGAUAGUCCCGUACACCAAAAUGCACAGGCUGUGAACUCGAAGAGUAGGGCGGGACACGUGGUAUCCUGUCUGAAUAUGGGGGGACCAUCCUCCAAGGCUAAAUACUCCUGACUGACCGAUAGUGAACCAGUACCGUGAGGGAAAGGCGAAAAGAACCCCGGCGAGGGGAGUGAAAAAGAACCUGAAACCGUGUACGUACAAGCAGUGGGAGCCCCACCACUAAGCCAGUGGUGAACUCCACAUAUGCAUCCUUUGCUGAAGGUGCGGUUAACGGAGCGUAAGCGACGUUCAACCUCAAAAGAAGCAGAGGGGGCUUAGUGGUGGGGUGACUGCGUACCUUUUGUAUAAUGGGUCAGCGACUUAUAUUCUGUAGCAAGGUUAACCGUAUAGGGGAGCCGCAGGGAAACCGAGUCUUAACUGGGCGUUAAGUUGCAGGGUAUAGACCCGAAACCCGGUGAUCUAGCCAUGGGCAGGUUGAAGGUUGGGUAACACUAACUGGAGGACCGAACCGACUAAUGUUGAAAAAUUAGCGGAUGACUUGUGGCUGGGGGUGAAAGGCCAAUCAAACCGGGAGAUAGCUGGUUCUCCCCGAAAGCUAUUUAGGUAGCGCCUCGUGAACUCAUCUUCGGGGGUAGAGCACUGUUUCGGCUAGGGGGUCAUCCCGACUUACCAACCCGAUGCAAACUACGAAUACCGAAGAAUGUUAUCACGGGAGACACACGGCGGGUGCUAACGUCCGUCGUGAAGAGGGAAACAACCCAGACCGCCAGCUAAGGUCCCAAAGUCAUGGUUAAGUGGGAAACGAUGUGGGAAGGCACAGACAGCCAGGAUGUUGGCUUAGAAGCAGCCAUCAUUUAAAGAAAGCGUAAUAGCUCACUGGUCGAGUCGGCCUGCGCGGAAGAUGUAACGGGGCUAAACCAUGCACCGAAGCUGCGGCAGCGACGCUUAUGCGUUGUUGGGUAGGGGAGCGUUCUGUAAGCCUGCGAAGGUGACCUGUGAGGGUUGCUGGAGGUAUCAGAAGUGCGAAUGCUGACAUAAGUAACGAUAAAGCGGGUGAAAAGCCCGCUCGCCGGAAGACCAAGGGUUCCUGUCCAACGUUAAUCGGGGCAGGGUGAGUCGACCCCUAAGGCGAGGCCGAAAGGCGUAGUCGAUGGGAAACAGGUUAAUAUUCCUGUACUUGGUGUUACUGCGAAGGGGGGACGGAGAAGGCUAUGUUAGCCGGGCGACGGUUGUCCCGGUUUAAGCAUGUAGGCUGGUUAUCCAGGCAAAUCCGGAUAAUCAAGGCUGAGGUGUGAUGACGAGGCACUACGGUGCUGAAGUAACAAAUGCCCUGCUUCCAGGAAAAGCCUCUAAGCAUCAGGUAACAUCAAAUCGUACCCCAAACCGACACAGGUGGUCAGGUAGAGAAUACCAAGGCGCUUGAGAGAACUCGGGUGAAGGAACUAGGCAAAAUGGUGCCGUAACUUCGGGAGAAGGCACGCUGGUGUGUAGGUGAAGUCCCUGCGGAUGGAGCUGAGACCAGUCGAAGAUACCAGCUGGCUGCAACUGUUUAUUAAAAACACAGCACUGUGCAAACACGAAAGUGGACGUAUACGGUGUGACGCCUGCCCGGUGCCGGAAGGUUAAUUGAUGGGGUUAUCCGUAAGGAGAAGCUCUUGAUCGAAGCCCCGGUAAACGGCGGCCGUAACUAUAACGGUCCUAAGGUAGCGAAAUUCCUUGUCGGGUAAGUUCCGACCUGCACGAAUGGCGUAAUGAUGGCCAGGCUGUCUCCACCCGAGACUCAGUGAAAUUGAACUCGCUGUGAAGAUGCAGUGUACCCGCGGCAAGACGGAAAGACCCCGUGAACCUUUACUAUAGCUUGACACUGAACAUUGAGCCUUGAUGUGUAGGAUAGGUGGGAGGCUUUGAAGCGUGGACGCCAGUCUGCGUGGAGCCAACCUUGAAAUACCACCCUUUAAUGUUUGAUGUUCUAACGUUGGCCCCUUAUCGGGGUUGCGGACAGUGUCUGGUGGGUAGUUUGACUGGGGCGGUCUCCUCCCAAAGCGUAACGGAGGAGCACGAAGGUUAGCUAAUCCUGGUCGGACAUCAGGAGGUUAGUGCAAUGGCAUAAGCUAGCUUGACUGCGAGCGUGACGGCGCGAGCAGGUGCGAAAGCAGGUCAUAGUGAUCCGGUGGUUCUGAAUGGAAGGGCCAUCGCUCAACGGAUAAAAGGUACUCCGGGGAUAACAGGCUGAUACCGCCCAAGAGUUCAUAUCGACGGCGGUGUUUGGCACCUCGAUGUCGGCUCAUCACAUCCUGGGGCUGAAGUAGGUCCCAAGGGUAUGGCUGUUCGCCAUUUAAAGUGGUACGCGAGCUGGGUUUAGAACGUCGUGAGACAGUUCGGUCCCUAUCUGCCGUGGGCGCUGGAGAAUUGAGGGGGGCUGCUCCUAGUACGAGAGGACCGGAGUGGACGCAUCACUGGUGUUCGGGUUGUCAUGCCAAUGGCACUGCCCGGUAGCUAAAUGCGGAAGAGAUAAGUGCUGAAAGCAUCUAAGCACGAAACUUGCCCCGAGAUGAGUUCUCCCUGAGACUUUAAGUCUCCUGAAGGAACGUUAAAGACGAUGACGUUGAUAGGCCGGGUGUGUAAGCGCAGCGAUGCGUUGAGCUAACCGGUACUAAUGAACCGUGAGGCUUAACCUU